rnacentral:snRNA from 1 species
UUGCUGCAGCAGCACACAUACUAAAAUUGGAACCAUACCGAGAAGAUUAGCAUAGCCCGUGCACAAAGUUGACUGGCAAAUUUGUGAAGCAUUCCAUUUAAAA